rnacentral:snRNA from 1 species
AAACCGAAAAGGACGAAUAGCAGAUUGCCCAGUGCACAUUUUAAGUUGUGACCUUCAUUGCACUUUGGAGGGGUGCCUACCUAAGGUCGACCCAAGUGGUCGAGCCUACAUCAUAACUUGGGUCGACCCUACAUCAUAAUUUGUUGCAGAGGGGACCUGCGUUCGCGCGGCCACUGC